GCUCUAGGAGGGGCCCGCGUCGGAUUAGCUUGUUGGUGGGGUAACGGCCUACCAAGGCGAUGAUCCGUAGCUGGUCUGAGAGGAUGAUCAGCCACACUGGGACUGAGACACGGCCCAGACUCCUACGGGAGGCAGCAGUGGGGAAUAUUGGACAAUGGGCGCAAGCCUGAUCCAGCAAUGCCGCGUGAGUGAUGAAGGCCUUAGGGUUGUAA
rnacentral:rRNA from 1 species